UUCUGUUUCUCAAUUGUCUCACUUGAAUCAGUCUUUCCAAUUUCCCCGCAUAACUCUUUGUUUUGUUUUUCCUUUGCUAAUAUCUUAUCUCUUGGAAUUUCUUCAUCCUUCAUCUCUUGUUCUUGUUGGAUUCUUUUAGUUGCUUCUUCAACCAAGAUAUUGUCAACAACAGCUUGUUGAAAGCUCUCAACUGUUCCUUUUUCUGUGCUGAUCUGUUCUUCAGUUGUCUCACUUGCAUCAGUCUUUUCAAUU
rnacentral:misc_RNA from 1 species